rnacentral:rRNA from 1 species
UGAACUCCACAUACGCAUCCUUUGCGGAAGAUACGGUUAACGGAGCGAAAGCGACGUUCAACCGCAAAAGAAGCAGAGGGGGCUUAGUGGUGGGGUGACUGCGUACCUUUUGUAUAAUGGGUCAGCGACUUAUAUUCUGUAGCAAGGUUAACCGAAUAGGGGAGCCGGAGGGAAACCGAGUCUUAACCGGGCGUUAAGUUGCAGGGUAUAGACCCGAAACCCGGUGAUCUAGCCAUGGGCAGGUUGAAGGUUGGGUAACACUAACUGGAGGACCGAACCGACUAAUGUUGAAAAAUUAGCGGAUGACCUGUGGCUGGGGGUGAAAGGCCAAUCAAACCGGGAGAUAGCUGGUUCUCCCCGAAAGCUAUUUAGGUAGCGCCUUGUGAAUUCAUCUCCGGGGGUAGAGCACUGUUUCGGCCAGGGGGCCAUCCCGGCUUACCAACCCGAUGCAAACUGCGAAUACCGGAGAAUGUUAUCACGGGAGACACACGGCGGGUGCUAACGUCCGUCGUGAAGAGGGAAACAACCCAGACCGCCAGCUAAGGUCCCAAAGUCAUGGUUAAGUGGGAAACGAUGUGGGAAGGCCCAGACAGCCAGGAUGUUGGCUUAGAAGCAGCCAUCAUUUAAAGAAAGCGUAAUAGCUCACUGGUCGAGUCGGCCUGCGCGGAAGAUGUAACGGGGCUAAACCAUGCACCGAAGCUGCGGCAGCGACACUAAGUGUUGUUGGGUAGGGGAGCGUUCUGUAAGCCUGCGAAGGUGUGUCGUGAGGCAUGCUGGAGGUAUCAGAAGUGCGAAUGCUGACAUAAGUAACGAUAAUGCGGGUGAAAAACCCGCACGCCGGAAGACCAAGGGUUCCUGUCCAACGUUAAUCGGGGCAGGGUGAGUCGACCCCUAAGGCGAGGCCGAAAGGCGUAGUCGAUGGGAAACGGGUUAAUAUUCCCGUACCUGGUGUUACUGCGAAGGGGGGACGGAGAAGGCUAUGUUGGCCGGGCGACGGUUGUCCCGGUUUAAGCGUGUAGGUGUGUGUUCCAGGAAAAUCCGGUUCACUUUAACACUGAGGCGUGACGACGAGGCACUACGGUGCUGAAGCAACAAAUGCCCUGCUUCCAGGAAAAGCCUCUAAGCCUCAGGUAACAUCAGAUCGUACCCGAAACCGACACAGGUGGUCAGGUAGAGAAUACCAAGGCGCUUGAGAGAACCCGGGUGAAGGAACUAGGCAAAAUGGUGCCGUAACUUCGGGAGAAGGCACGCUGACA